UCAACAUUACACUUCAACCACGGACCCAGUGCAAAAUAGCAGCAGCCAAUCUCGAAGGACCGUGACUGCGAAUUCUACAAUCUUCGAAGGAGGGUGGUCAUUAUUCUUCCAAACUAACAGGUUCCUAUGGAACCAAAGACUCCACAAGACCACCAAAAUAACGUCCCGCUGCCGAAUAUCAGAAAUAGAUAACAUAGAAGCAAUAAAAUUCUUCACCGAAUCAGUUUGCACUACAACACCCAUCAUAUUCCAGAUUAUUGUAGCAUUUGACACCAAAGCAGAACAUGUUCAAGAGAUUCACUUCCUCACCUUAUCCAACUAUCAUCAACGAUACACCCUUUGUCUUUCAAACGACCUUUGCAAGGAACAAAAUUACGAAUACACCGUCACAGAAAAUCUAACACCUUCGGUGGCAACUUAGCAGUCCAAAGCUUAAGCCAAGAAAAAUCAUGGUUUCUUA
rnacentral:lncRNA from 1 species